rnacentral:rRNA from 1 species
GACGAACGCUGGCGGCGUGCUUAACACAUGCAAGUCGAACGGAAAGGCCCUGCUUUUGUGGGGUGCUCGAGUGGCGAACGGGUGAGUAACACGUGAGUAACCUGCCCUUGACUUUGGGAUAACUUCAGGAAACUGGGGCUAAUACCGGAUAGGAGCUCCUGCUGCAUGGUGGGGGUUGGAAAGUUUCGGCGGUUGGGGAUGGACUCGCGGCUUAUCAGCUUGUUGGUGGGGUAGUGGCUUACCAAGGCUUUGACGGGUAGCCGGCCUGGGAGGGUGACCGGCCACAUUGGGACUGAGAUACGGCCCAGACUCCUACGGGAGGCAGCAGUGGGGGAUAUUGCACAAUGGGCGGAAGCCUGAUGCAGCAACGCCGCGUGCGGGAUGACGGCCUUCGGGUUGUAAACCGCUUUCGCCUGUGACGAAGCGUGAGUGACGGUAAUGGGUAAAGAAGCACCGGCUAACUACGUG